UCUCUCUCUCUCUCUCCCUCCCUCCCUCCGUCUCCUCCAUACCUAAACAAGAUCUACUUUUUUCUCCCCUUCUAAUUUUUGAUCUCUCUCCUCUUAGUGUUUUCAAUCUUCUGGGUGAUUGUUGCAAUAAGGAUAAGAUCGUCUCCCAUCACUUGUCAGCCAGGGAUGACCGAUUUGUCAUCGUUUUGGAGAAACUGUGCUAUAUUCAGUUCGAGUACUUGGUGUACUACGAGACCCGCAUCACCGGAAAGCUAAGCUACUGCGCGAUCACGGAUCUGAAGGGCAUUCAGGUACAAAGAUUGUUCUUUUGGUUUGAUGUGGAUGAGAUUAGGGUCGAUUUACAGCCGUCCGAUAGUAUUUACUUCACCAUUGGGAUCAUGAACAAAGCUCGAUGUCGAUCAGUUCCAUAAUGUUCAUUCUUGUCGGGACGAGCUUUCGGGUACGGGUUCGGUUUCUUGCCUCGGGUCGUUGAAACAGGGGUCCAAGAUUGUUUGAACCCGCUGAAGCCUUCUACUUGUGUGCAGGGGUUGAUGUUAAAUAUGAAGAGAUAAUUGAAGCAACUUCAAUUGACUCCAGCAAAGUCUUACGGUCAUGCACUGCUCAGUUGCAGCUGCUACCGACAGGAGACGACUUCUAUGGUAUAGGAUUUAUGUACUGCCAUGAGCCUCCUACUUGAGUUACUUGAACAACAGAUUUACUUCCAUCAUUUGUUAUUCGUAAGGAAGGGUUGCAGUAUCAAAGGAAGGGUUGCAGCCUUGGGGAGGAAGAGUCGUUGAUGUUUAAAUUGUGAUGGGUUUAUCUGUAAUUUUUUAGGUUGAUUAGUUUGAUACUUUUUAAAAUACAGUAUACAGUACAUUAAUGUAGAGGUGCCGGUGGGCACCUUAUUUUUUUACUGAUAUCAGUGGUAUUCCAAAACCACCAUUACACACUGAUAAUGGUUGUUGCAUUGGCACUGAUUGAGAUGCAAUUUUUGCAUUGGUUGAAGGUAUGACACUGUUAAUUUAUUGGUGUGUAAUGUCCUAAUAGCACCUGCAAUAGAGGGGACUGAUUCCUCAUUAGUGGCUGCAUAGUGGCUAAUGAGAUUAGUCACUCUUAUCAAUGUGUAUUG